UAUCACGUCACUUCCUGUCAACGAGUUGUCGUCGUGAUAUUAAGUUGAGAGAAGCAUUAAGCGGAGCAUUGACUAUUGUAUCACUGGUUGAUUAUGUCACUCAAAUCCAGUGUUCCACUUCUUAAUAAAGGAGAUUCAUGGGACCUUUUCUGUAUAGCAUCAUGUCCUACUGUUGUCCAGUGUCCAACUGUAAUUGCUAUGGUAGGUCUUCCUGCUCGUGGCAAGACUUAUAUUUCAAAGAAACUUACUCGUUACCUAAAUUGGAUUGGAAUUAAAACAAAAGUUUUCAAUGUUGGUGAAUAUAGGAGAGCAGCUACUGAUAAAUAUAAAAGCCAUGACUUUUUUAGACCUGACAAUAAGGAGGCUCUCGAAAUAAGACAUAAAUGUGCUCUGUUAGCUAUUGAAGAUGCUCGUGCUUAUCUCUCGAGUGGUGGUGAAGUUGCUGUUGUUGAUGCUACAAAUACAGCCAGAGAGAGGCGAAAGUUAUUGGUGGAUUUCUUUACUGUACAAAAUAACUUCAAACUGUUUUUUGUGGAAUCACUCUGUGAUGAUCCAUCUAUAAUUGAAGCAAAUAUCUUGGAAGUCAAGAUUUGCAGCCCUGACUACAUAGGAAUGGAUAAAAAUGAAGCAGUAGGUGACUUUUUGCAACGGAUCAAGCACUAUGACCAGACGUAUGAAAAAUUAGACUAUAUUCAUGAUCGCAACAUGUCUUUUAUCCAGAUAUUUAAUCAAGGGGAGCGAUUUUUAGUAAAUAAAUUAGCAGGACAUCUUCAAAGCCGUGUUGUAUACUACCUCAUGAAUAUUCAUGUCCUUCCAAGAACAAUUUACCUCACUAGGCAUGGAGAAAGUUUGAUGAAUCUGGAAGGGAAGAUUGGUGGUGAUAGUGAUCUCUCUGACCGUGGAUGGCAGUAUGCUAGAUCAUUAUCUGAGUUUGUGAAGAAUGAAAAUAUCCAAGAUCUUAAGGUAUGGACAAGUGAAAUGAAAAGGACAAAGCAAACUGCUCAGUAUAUUGAUAGUCCUACAGAGCACUGGAAAACUUUAAAUGAAAUUGAUGCUGGCAUCUGUGAAGGCAUGACAUAUGAAGAAAUUCAUGAAAAGCAUCCAGAUGAAUUUGCCCUCAGAGACCAAGACAAAUUCCAUUACAGAUAUCCCGGUGGUGAAUCUUACCAAGAUUUAGUUGCACGGUUAGAACCUGUUAUUAUGGAGCUUGAACGACAAGAAAAUGUUAUGGUAAUUUGUCACCAAGCAGUUGCCAGAUGUCUGCUUGCAUACUUCCAAGACAAAAAUUCUGAGGAAAUCCCAUAUGUACCUGUCCCAUGUGAGACUUUAGUGAAAAUGACUAUGACACCAUUUGGUACAUGUGUGCUGGAAGAGAUACCCUUGCUCAGUGGAUCUUCCGUAUCUGAAGGUACCACUUCACACAGUCAUCAAACUAACACCAGUGGCAUAUGGUUGUAGAGUUGAAUUUUGUCCAUUAAAUAUCAAGGCUGUGGACACUCACCGGGACAAACCUACAAUCUUGCAUCGUGGGAGAUCUCGAACUGAAGCCCUUGACACAUGUCCACCAUGUGAUCAGGAUGAAUGAUUAAAUCAAAUUUCUUUUCA
rnacentral:misc_RNA from 1 species